rnacentral:lncRNA from 1 species
AAAAACAAAAAAUCCUCUCAAACUCUACAUUUUCUCUCCAACCGCCGAUCAAAGGCCCAGCCAUCGGCCAUUGCGCCGGCCGUCGGUCGCCGGCGCCGGCAUCACCGUACACGGCGGUCGAAAAAUUGAAAAGUUUUCCCUUUUUUCUCCGAUGCAAACCCUCGGCCUCUAAACACUCCGGCGGCGACCAAAAAAGGUAAAAAGGCUUCUCUUUUUUAUUUUAUGCGUUAUUUUGAAAAAACAAAACCAAAAAAAGAAAAAAAAUUAUAAAACCAAAAUAAAACGAAAAGAUCACCUUUAAAAUUUUUGUUGUUAUUUAUUUAUUUUCUCCAAAAUCCCCCCGAAUUACAAUAGUUGCUAUGGCUUUAUAGCCAUUUUUACAAUGUUUUUUAAUCUAUUUUUGCUUGUCACUUCUCUGCAGGCAAGUGGGGUGAUGGGACGGUGGCAGAAGCGGCAGGUGGGCAGAGUUGGUGGCGGUGGCAGGUGACGCGGCAGACAUAGGGUGCGGCGACUAGGGUUAGGAGCUAGGGUUUUUUUUAUGUUUUUUUUAUGUUUUUGGGUAUUGGGUUAGUUUUUUUUAUUUGGGCUUGUAUUUGGGCAUUAAUUGGGUUGUUUGGGUUAAUUUGGUUUGGGUAGGUUUAGGUUAGUUUUUGGGUUUUGUUUUAUUUUGAUUUUGGGUUUAAUUGGGCUCCGGGUAAAAAAUUGGGCCCUACAUCAGUGACUUAAAUGAAAAAUUUUGAAUAAUUAAAUAACCAAAUUGUAUCUUUUUUAAGUUAGUGGCCAAAACUAAGAUUACCCAUUAUUUAGUG